rnacentral:rRNA from 1 species
GAUGAACGCUAGCGGUAGGCUUAACACAUGCAAGUCGAGGGGCAGCACAGGUAGCAAUACUUGGUGGCGACCGGCGCACGGGUGAGUAACGCGUAUGCAACCUACCUAUAACUGGAGAAUAGCCCUCGGAAACGGGGAUUAAUGUUCCAUAAUGUUCAGGGACCGCAUGGUUUUUGGACUAAAGCUCAGGCGGUUAUAGACGGGCAUGCGUGACAUUAGCUAGUUGGUGAGGUAACAGCUCACCAAGGCUACGAUGUCUAGGGGGUCUUAAAGGAUGAUCCCCCACACUGGUACUGAGACACGGACCAGACACCUACGGGUGGCUG